rnacentral:piRNA from 1 species
UUUCCACGUAGCCUACUGACCUU